rnacentral:rRNA from 1 species
AUUGAACGCUGGCGGCAGGCCUAACACAUGCAAGUCGAGCGGCAGCGGGAAAGUAGCUUGCUACUUUUGCCGGCGAGCGGCGGACGGGUGAGUAAUGCCUGGGAAAUUGCCCAGUCGAGGGGGAUAACAGUUGGAAACGACUGCUAAUACCGCAUACGCCCUACGGGGGAAAGCAGGGGACCUUCGGGCCUUGCGCGAUUGGAUAUGCCCAGGUGGGAUUAGCUAGUUGGUGAGGUAAUGGCUCACCAAGGCGACGAUCCCUAGCCGGCCUGAAGGGAUGAUCAGCCACACUGGAACUGAGGCACGGGCCAGACUCCGACGGGAGGCAGCAGUGGGGAAUACUGCACAAUGGGGGAAACCCUGAUGCAGCCCUGCCGCGUGUGUGAAGAAGGCCUUCGGGUUGUAAAGCACUUUCAGCGAGGAGGAAAGGUUGUUGCCUAAUACGUAUCAACUGUGACGUUACUCGCAGAAGAAGCACCGGCUAACUCCGUGCCAGCCGCCGCCGUAA